CUGCCGGGCGUGCCCGGGCCGACAGACGCGCGGACGGGCGCCGAGGGCGCGCGGGGCCGCGGCCGGGCGCCAUGGAGGGGCUGCGGCGGGGCCUGUCACGCUGGAAGCGCUACCACAUCAAGGUGCACCUGGCGGACGAGGCGCUGCUGCUGCCGCUCACGGUGCGGCCGCGGGACACGCUCAGCGACCUGCGCGCCCAGCUCGUGGGCCAGGGCGUGUGCUCCUGGAAGCGCACCUUCUACUACAACGCGCGCCGGCUGGACGACCACCAGACGGUGCGCGACGUGCGCCUGCAGGACGGCUCGGUGCUGCUACUCGUCAGCGACCCCAGGUAGUCUGGGUUGGAGGAGGUGGAGCCAUGACCAAGGGGACCAGAGGUGCUGGCUGAAGAGCAGGCAGGGGUGGGGACACUUUGGGGAGGUGCCUCCCAGGAGCCUUGGCCUCCCUCUGGGUUCGCGCUCCCGGAGUGGACGUGUAACAGCGGCCUGACCAGCUGCUGCCUGCUGCCUCGACACUCCUGAUGGAGCUCCUGAUGCUGACCUAGGACUGCGCCACCCAGCCAGCCUGGGAGGAGCCGCGGCGGACCUUCUAAGUGUGUGUGCCUCUGAGGCCACGGCUCUCCACUUGGGGCCUCAGGGGGUCCGGUCGACUGUGGGCACCCCCAAACCACCUUGGGAGGCUCCCACAGGCAGCCAGAGGCUCUCCCAGGAAGAGAAGCACAGAGGGGAGAGGAAAGGAGGAGGACGUCACCCCUCUCAGCCACACCUUUGCCCAAGCUGUUCCCACUGUCCGAAGCACCUUUCACACUCUCCUCUGUGGCUCCGACCCACCUGAGAUUCCAGCCUCCUCCAGGAAGUCUUCUUGUAUUCUCUCCUGCCCAGCCAAUCAGCACAUUUUCCUCUUUGGGGUUCCCACAUGCCCCCUCUACUGUGAGCAGCCUUGGCUGGGGGGUGCACCAGUUACUCAUGAAAUCUCAAAUGACCAAAGGUGGAGACAGGGGGACCCCAGCCCUUGCUCAGCUUUCCAGCAUCAUGCUGAGCCCCCAGCCCCUACUCCAAACACCUCCCCAGGUUGCACCUAUGCCAACCCCUUGGCUGUGUCUUUCUUUCCCUUAAAUCCCACAGCCUUGCCCUCUGCAUGGGGUCUCCUGUUUGCAUCUGAAGGGCUCUGGCUGCAUGGACCACGGACGGGGACCUGGAGGGGAGGCUGAGGCGUGGGUGGUAAUCGUGGAGGGUGUUCCAGGCAUUGUGUUGUGCAAAUUCUGGGUACCAGACCCUCUGAGUAGAACGCAGGGCCUCAGUUGGACCUCUAACCUGUGGCCACACAGCUUCAGGUCCUCUGUGCAGAACCUGGGGAAGUCAGGGGCCUGCGCUUGCCCUCGAGGGUAGGGUUCAUGGUCCAGGGGCUGCUGGUGCAAGGGGCAGAGGUGGGGGAGACUGUUGUUGAGAAAUAAUGUUUCAAUUAAGAAUCAUGUUUGCUGCAGGGUGCAGAGCGGAGAAGGGGGGAUAAUAACUCACGGCCAAGGGAGAUCCGUGCUCAGACCUCACGUUUGCCUGUCAUGGGGGCAGCACCAGGCCUGCUGGGCUCCGCUGGCCAGCCUCGGAGGGGGCGGGGGACAGAGGAGUCGGAGAGAGGGACCCCCAUUCCUGCAGACAGCUGGAGACGCAGUGCGGGGGACCUGGGUUUUAGCUGUUUCCUCUCCCCCUUGGUGCCCAGCCCAAGGCUGGGUACCCAAAGAUCUCAGUGCCUGCUCCUUGCAGGUCCUGCUAGGGCAGGGCCUUCAACUUCCUCUCAGCAGUGGGUAAACUGAGGCCCCAGGUAGUAGCUGGGCCGCCGGGGGCACACGGCAGUGGAGGCAGCCCUGAUCCUCGCUUGUGCCUGGUUUGGGACUCCGUUCAUACCUGACCCACGCACCCAGGGACCCCUCUUGGAUAGCCCCCUGCACAUCCAGGGACCUGCGCCCAACCCUGGGCCCGGCAGGGAAGUGGCUCCCAUAAUCACCCAGCUCCAGUCCUUGGUCCCCGACUAUGUGCCAGGAUGCACCCUUGCCAGGCUCUGACUUACCCUAAACUCCACUGCAGUGUGAGGUGGUGGCCGUGAUUAUGGCCCCUUUUAUAGGUGGGGUGUCUGAGGUCACCCCCUCCUGCCCAGAGCGGCUACCCCUGGCAGGCCCUGAACUGACAAUGCCCCAGCGCAGGCGGGGCGCUGAGGCAGAAGAGGGAGGGUGCUUCCUGAAGGGGAGUGGGGGUGGGGUAAAGCCUUUUCAGGCCAGUUUGACAUUUAACAAACAGUAUGCAAAUUGCAUGCAAAUCAUCACCCGUUUCUUAAGCCUCGACAGCUCUGGCGUGUUCUGAAAUAAUAAUGUUGGACCUGUCCCUUGGCGUCACCCUGGAGGAGGGGUCCAGACCCUGUCCCUUCCCCCCUCCUUCCUUCCCUCUCUCGUUUCCCCCUGUGCCUCUCCCUCCCUCCUACCUUUCUCCAUUCCUUCCUUCACCUGGCUCAUUGGAGGCCUCCCAGUCCUGAGAGGAAACAACAAAAGUGGCUUCCAGUAUCCCCAUUUCCCAGGCGAGGAAACUGAGGCACAAGCCUGGCUGGAGGUCCCAGAGCCACAGUGUGAAAAGUGUCCCCCACCAAGUGCCCUCAUGGGCCCAGGAAGAGAGACGACAGCCACUGGAGUUACGGGGACUUUGAGGGAGGCUCCAUCCUGACGUGGUUUGGCAGGACCGUGGGACGCUCUCCGGGGGUCUCUUGGCCUUGAAUGGCGGGGCUGCCGAGCUUGGAUCUGCAGAAUUUGACGUUGUCUCUUGCUCCUCCUGUAGUCCUUCUUUCCCCUUCCACUCCAUCAGCAUGUUCUUUGAAUUCUGGUCCAGCCCCUGUACUCACUCUGCAUGCCUUCUACGUUUGGCACUCCUAUUUAUCCUCCAAAGCCCCAGCUCCAACACCCACUUCUUCAUGCAGCCACUUCUGAUCCUCCAAGGAGAGCCUCCACUUCCUUCUGGGAUUCUCUGGCCCCAGAUCUCUCUCUCUCUCUGGCCCAGUCCUGACCAAUUGGGGCCGGCAGUCACUGACCACUCUGGCCAGAUUCCAGCCCUUGUUUCAUUAAUACACCACUGCCCCUCCCCCAGACCUCUGAAUAUGCAUGUUCUCUACCCAAAAGCCCUUUCUGGUCGAAAUUUUCACCUGGCACACUCCUAAAUUUUCAAGAUCCAGUCUGAGGAGGCACCCUGGGGUCCCGGGAUCACCCAGGUUGGGACCAGGUUGGGGCCGGUUUGGAGUGUGUAUUGAGUAAAAGAGUAAGCGUCUGAAAAUAAAAUCAAGUUCAAAGCCCAUAACGUGGUCUUUGGGCUCCAAUCUCCCCAGCUAAGCACCCCCUUUGCCCUCUCUGCUGCUCACCAACAAGCCUUUGCACGGCCUGUUCUCUCUGCCAGGAACGCCUUUUCCCUCGACUCCUAUUCUGGGUGACCCAAGCUGGCCCCCUCUCCUUUCUGGGCUGUGACAAUGGAGUAAGCUGGUCCCCCCCAGGGCCUCCCAGGCUCCUGGCCCCACCCCAGGAGCAAGUCUGGGCUGCGAGGAGUUUCAGGUGAGACUUGGCAACCACCGUCCACGCUGGGGCCCGCGGCGUCCCAGGGAGGGGCCAGCUCCCACCCUGGCUACCCUCUCAGUUUGUGGUCCCGGUACCUCGAGGGGAAUUUUCCCUGAUGGCAAGAAAAUCCAGGCGGUUCCCAGAGAAGGCAGCUCAGGCAGAAACUACAGGCGCCCGGGCUUCCUGCUUCAGUGCUGCUCGGCGUCCCUCUCUCUGCCUCCAGGUGGGUUCUAGCCUUCUGUAGUACCGUCUGGUCACUCAGCAGGCAUUUACUGGGAGCCCUCCGUGUGCUGCCUGCUGGAAUACUAAGGAAGACUCUGCUCCGGCUGCCACAGACGGUGGGGCAGGUUGCUCACUGCACAAAAGUCCUUAGUUGAGGGGGCCAGAGAGCCCCAGGAAGGGGGAUCCUUCUGUAAUUCACAUAAAGCCUCCCUUACAGGCCAGGGUCGGCCCUGCCCCUGCCAUCCUCCCUCUCUCUCUCUUUUUCUUCAUCUGUCUCUGCAUCUCACUGUCUCCUUUCUACAUAACUGCUUCUUGUUUCUCUCUUCCUCCGUGUCUCUGUGUUUGUUUACCUCUGCCUCUCCUUAUUAUCUCUGUGUGGGUCUCUGCCUCCAUCUCUGUCUUUCUCUGUGUCUUCCCACCUCGCUGGAUGGUUAUCUCUGACUCUCUCCGUAUCCCUGUAUCUGGCUCUCAUGCGCCCUUUCCAAAAGGACCCUCUCUCCCCUGACGCCCUGAGCAUGACAUCUGGGGCAUUUUCAAAAGCUGCUGGGACCAUCCAUUCUGCAAUCAUUGAUCACACCCGUAUGAUUUGCAGGGUGCUGGGGAGAGCAUGGUGACCAUGACACCAGCCACUGGCCCUCACGGUGCUCAAGGUCCAGCAGACUCUUCCAGAAGCUACAGGGUGAGGUGGGGGGCUGUUCCUGAGUCCCCACAAUCCUCUGCUCUGGGCUAGGCUGAAAGUCCUCCUCUGAAUGAUCCUGGGUGGUCCCAGUCCCACGCUGGGCCUCAGUUUCCCCACCUGCUGGAGAAGGGAGGUGUCCAGGGUGGCUGGGCCAAGAGCUGCAUGCGUGGCAGAGGCUGCUUGUUGGCAGAGAAAUCCUGACUCACGCCUGCACCCAGAUGAGUUUGAAAGAAUCCUCCGGGGGAAACAGUUGUACGAAAAUACAAAACGACUGCCCAGCCUGCUCUCUGACUCACCUGGGGCGGGCCCAGCCUCCCUGCUGUCCCCCAGAUCACUGCAGACGUGCCUGCCUCUUCCCCGAUGGCCCCUGGCUGUCCACUGGAGGCUGCUGGCCUCACUGUGAGGGCUCCAGGCCUCGCCCCGAGGGCUCUGACUUGGCACUGACCUCACCCCUGUGGUCUGAGCGCCAGACCCACUAAACCCCUUGGCAGAUCCCCCUGGGAAAAGCUCUUCCCAGCCACAGGGCCGUGCUGGGGCCGCGGUUUGUGUGCAGAGCGCCCUGGCCACACCGCACCCCUCAUGUCUCAUCCUCUGAUUUGUAGGCUCAGUGUCCCUUUCUUGGGGAGGUCCUAGACAAGUCCCGUUCCUGCUUUGCAUUCUCACACCGUCCGGUUCUCUUCCUUUAGAGCAUUAUUCAUUCAGUGUGUAUUUUCCCCACUAGUCCGAGGGCACUGUGAAGGCUGGGCCGUGGUCUGAUCUGGUCACCAGUAGAUCACACAACAUUUAAGAACCCAGAGUAACGGGCUGGGGAGCCAGGAACACCCCUCCACUUCCCAGGCUCCGUGAGGGUCCCUUGCCCAGUUCCCGUCCCCACUGUGUCAAAUUCCAGGUAACCCAGGGCCGCAGAGGCUCCAGAUUGGGAUUCCAGGUACUUUGGCUCCUGGCACCGUGAUAAAUGGAGAAAAUUCAGAAUUCAUUAUUGACUGCCCCACUGAGCUGGCCCGAUCUGGGCAGAUAAAGAGCAUCCUCGCCAUUUUGUCUGCCCAACACUUCUCAGGAGUUUAUUUCGGUUGGGAGGCAGCUGGCUGAGAGGAGAGGCCCAGAGGCACCGGAGCCAGGUGGAGGUGGGGGCAGAGCCUGGCUCUGCUGGGCCACUUCGGGCAACUCCCUCUCCCUCUCUGAGCCGCAGUUUUCUCAUUUGGCAAAAGGGAAGGACAAAAACAUCCUCAUCUGUCGGGAUGAAUUUGUUCGGGGAGUCUCCUCUAGGUAAUGGCGUGGCACACAGUAGGUCCCCAAUAAAUGCAGUAUCGAUGAGUUGA